CUCGGAAAGAUCGCUUGUGUAGUUGGGUGUGCUUGCUGCUAGAAAUUAAAGCACGUCGACGCAACUGCGUAGAUCAAUCGUGUUAUCCGUCAAGAAUUGUUGGCGUACGUGAGAAAUUGCGUGUCUAUCUUCGAUCUUUUUACGUCGGACAACCGCCAUUAACACAUCAAUCGACAUCGCUCCGCAUUUUACGUGUCUUUUGUCCGUCGAAGAUGAGUCUCGUGUGGAAAUAAAUAUUGGGAGUGUCAAAAAAAGUGAUGUGCGAUCGUCAGGACGUAUUGUACGUUACGUAUGCACGGUUACGAUUUAUUGACGAAUACCAGUCGAUGCUCUCGAUUUCCUGCGGCGAAAAUGUGAAACACACACGAUCGACCGGAAUUAACACGAAGUGCCGGCAGUGAACAUAAAGUGACUGCGCGAAUCUAAACGAGAAACGAUGUGUGCUAACGGGUGUCAAGUCGGACUGUUAGCAGUGUUAUCAAUGUUCCAAUGUGAAGGAUCGCACAGGAAUUGGCGCGACAGGACAUAUGCGGCGGCUGAAUUGACGAGAAAUAUAGGAGUUCCAAUAGAGCAGACGCAGUCACGCGGCUUUAGGGGAUGCGAUGCCUGGGGGAUGCUGCGCUGGAGGAUUCGGCUUGGGCCUG